AUUGAACGCUGGCGGCAUGCCUUACACAUGCAAGUCGAACGGCAGCGCGGGAGCAAUCCUGGCGGCGAGUGGCGAACGGGUGAGUAAUAUAUCGGAACGUGCCCUAGAGUGGGGGAUAACUAGUCGAAAGAUUAGCCAAUACCGCAUACGAUCUACGGAUGAAAGUGGGGGAUCGCAAGACCUCAUGCUCGUGGAGCGGCCGAUAUCUGAUUAGCUAGUUGGUAGGGUAAAAGCCUACCAAGGCCACGAUCAGUAGCUGGUCUGAGAGGACGACCAGCCACACUAGGACUGAGACACGGCCCAGACUCCUACGGGAGGCAGCAGAGGGGAAUUUUGGACAAUGGGGGAAACCCUGAUCCAGCAAUGCCGCGUGUGUGAAGAAGGCCUUCGGGUUGUAAAGCACUUUUGUCCGGAACGAAACGGGCCGAGCUAAUAUCUUGGCCUAAUGACGGUACCGGAAGAAUAAGCACCGGCUAACUACGUGCCAGCCGCCGCAGUAA
rnacentral:rRNA from 1 species